rnacentral:lncRNA from 1 species
GUGGCAAGUUGUAGAGAAUUUCCGGGUUGUUUAAUCUAUCAGUCGUCGUCUCCUCUUUGUGAAUUUUUGAAUGGCCGUGCAAACUGCAACUGCUCUUUUGUGGCCAACGGAAGGGCUGUAGUCUGUGCCAGCCUGCCAGGCAUGGCAUGCAUGGCAGGCCUCGAGAGCGAAGAGACCAAAGGAUCCGUCUCAUCUUCCAAAGAGAGACCACCAAAACGGGCGGCGGCCGGUUUAUCCGUUGCCGUUUUCGAGCUCCACGAGGAGUUUUGGUUCGUUGCUAUUGCUACGCAGUGCCACCAGUGAGAGGAGGAGGAGGAAGAGGAGGGCCCAGGAUGGAAUGGAUGAUGCCUUGCCCUUGGCCUGGUCAAACAGAAAUCUGAACGAGGACACCGCCGCACGGGACGUACCGUAUCCGGAGCAAAAUUGUUCCCCGCCUGAACCCAGCACAAGGAAGAACGCCCUGUGGCCUUGUACGGCAACGGUGGCUGGCACGCGAUAUUCUCUCAUCUUGGCCCAUCUGUGAGACCCAGCGUCAUCAGGGCCUUGUUUAGUUCCAAAAAAUUUUGCAAAACAGGUACUGUAGCACUUUCGUUUGUUUGUGACAAAUAUUGUCCAAUCAUGGAUUAACUAGGCUCAAAAGAUUCAUCUCAUCAAUUCCGACCAAACUAUGCAAUUAGUUUUUAUUUUUAUCUAUAUUUAAUACUCCAUGCAUGCGUCUAAAGAUUCGAUGUGACGGGGAAUCUGAAAAAUUUUGCAAAAUUUUUUGGGAAGUAAACAAGGCCCUCCUAUCCUUCGUUGCAUGAUUGUCCUGCCCGUAGAGAGAAAUCAAUCAAGUGGCAUCUUCUAAAAAAAAAAGAAAGAAAAAGAAUCCCACAAGUUUGUAGAGUAGGAACGGCGCGCAUUUUCUUUUGGAGCCUGGAAUCGUUUGUUAAUUCGUCAUCUAAGCCACAACAAGCUGGCCGCCGAUGCUCACCUCACCUGCUCUUGCUCAUUGGAACAUGCCGCAGUGGCACUUGUCAACUGGGCGUCUAUCUCAUCUCAUCUCAUCUCCAUGAGUCCAUGUGCGUUUGAACACGAUCCAUGACCAUGAGACGAGAACGAGGUCGCAUCGCAUCGCAUCGCAUCGCGUCCCUCCAUCAUAUGCAUGCUUGCGCGCGAUCAUACUACCACCGACCGGACCCAAGGAACUUGCGCUCCUGCUGCACCAAGAUUAGGCGCCUUCUUCUUGUUGUUGCCGGUUCUCACUCAACAGCUGCACAUGUCUGUUUGCGCUGACAACUCGCAUCCUACUCAUCUCAUCGGACAGAGCACGAGGCGCUGUGCCUGCCGCCGGCUCUGCCUUGUUGUUGUUGCUCCCCUCCACCGCCCCGCCCCCGUCCCCGUUCCAGCCUCGGCAACGCCCAACUGCCUGCUUCAGUGCUUGUGCUACUGAAAUGGGAACGAGACCCUCGUUGGGUUGCGUUCGCCGGCCUCGGGCAGUCGGGCGCACGGAUCCGCCUCCCGUGCCG